UACGUAGGGUGCGAGCGUUAUUCGGAAUUACUGGGCGUAAAGCGUGCGCAGGCGGUUCGCCAAGUCAGGUGUGAAAUCCCCGGGCUUAACCUGGGAAUUGCGCUUGAAACUAGCGGGCUUGAGUGUGGCAGAGGGGGGUGGAAUUCCGCGUGUAGCAGUGAAAUGCGUAGAGAUGCGGAGGAACACCGAUGGCGAAGGCAGCCCCCUGGGCCAACACUGACGCUCAGGCACGAAAGCGUGGGGAGCAAACAGG
rnacentral:rRNA from 1 species